GCCUUUUAUUCCCAGCCCUCGGAUUGCCCUGGACAAGAAAAUUUGGAACCGUCAGAUUAGAAGGGAAAAAGGACAAAAAUUUCUGAAAAGGAUCUCAGCCGUUCAUUCUGAUUCUCUUUAAUUCCCAAGCAUCAGAUCAUGUCCUUCAAAAUCCAAACCUUCCAUCUCCCUCAAAAUAAAUCCUGACCCUUCAUGGGGAGCACCCGAUUCCUAUAAAUACCUGCAUGAAAAACUGUUCAAGGGACGGGCAAAAAAAAGAGAGGUAGUUAUUAUAGCGGAAGAACUCUGAAACUUCAUUCAGUUUGUUAUUCUGCUACUUAGAAGUGUUGAUUAGAAAGACUUUUGAAACUAGUUUUCUGAAGUUUUUCUCUUGAAAAGGAUUCUGAAUACUGGAACUCUACA
rnacentral:misc_RNA from 1 species